CCCAGGGGGGCAAACUAGAAAACGCCAAAAACAAAGUAAAAUCCAAAAUCAUCAAGCAGCAGCAGAACCGGCCGUGCCGCUCGCGGCGCCGGCAGAGGGAAGACGAGACGGCGAUGGCGGGUGCCGGUGCGGCGGGGUUCCCGCGGCUACUGCAGGUUCAGGCCCUCCAGUGCUUAGCGGAUGAGGGGUUCUGGGACGCGCUCCGCCGCCUCAAGCUCGACGUCCUGGGCACCGACGACUCCCCCAUCCCAAUCACCGGUUACUAUACUCCACGCCAGUUUCGCCCGAUGGCGAGCUUCUUCAACCUACGUUCAGGAUCAUUGAACAAUUCGCCUGGUGAUAGGAAUGGUUGUCAAGUUCCAGGGACCCUGAUAAACACUAAUAACACGAGGGGAUUCCAAGACCUAGAUAGGGAACUUCUUCUGAAAGCGGAAGCAAAGAAGAUCUUGCAUGACAUUAUGUCUGGUAAUGUAGAAGAGAAUCCUGCUCUGCUACUUAGGUUCCUUGUGACAUCAUUUGCUGAUCUGAAGAAUUGGAAGGUCUAUUACAAUGUUGCAUUCCCCUCGUUGGUUUUCAACUCUAGAAUGACCCUGCUAAGUCUGCACUGCGCCUCAGAAGUGCUCAGCAAAGAAGAGGCAGCAUGCUUGUACGAAGCAUUGCAAGAGUGGCGUGCUUCUAGUGAAACAACAGCAGUUGUACCAUUCUUUCUGGUUGGUAUAUCCUCGGAUUCCUCUGCCUCUGUAAGACCACUUAAGGACUGGAAAACUUGCCAGGGGAACUAUCAAAAGCUGCUGUUUGGAUUUUAUGAUCAUGGAUGUCUCUCAGAUUGCCCUGGCUGGGCUAUUAGAAAUUAUAUUACAUUCCUGACUAUCCGGUGGAAGAUUGAGAAGGUUCAGUUCUUCUGCUACCGUGAAUAUCGAGGAAACCCUGAUCUAGAACAAUCCCUCAUUGGCGAAGCAUCAUUUCCAUCACCUCGUGGGUGGGAUGAUCCUGAUCAUGUACCUGAUGCUAUUGGUUGGGAAGGAUUAAAGCCAGGAAAGGGAACAAAAGAAAUGAAGCCAAAAGAAAUAGAUCUUCAAUCAAUGAGUCCAGCAAGUCAGGAUGAAGAAAAACAACUGAUGCACUUAAAGCUUAUGGGGUGGCGCCACUUUCCUGUGAAUAUAGACAAGUUAUCUGGGGUUCGAGUUCUUGUCUUGGGUGCUGGAACUCUUGGAUGUGAAGUUGCUCGCCUGCUUAUGACCUGGGGUGUACGGAAAUUAACUGUGGUCGACAGUGGUAAUGUUGCCACGUCUGACCUUGUCAAGCAAUCACUCUACAUAGAUAAGGACUGUGGAGUUCCAAGAGUAACUGCAAUAGUUCCACAUCUAAAAGCAAGAUGUCCUGCAGUGGAGGUUGAAGGCAUCCAAAUGGAGAUACCGGUGCCUGGGCAUCCUGAUUCUCCCAGCAAAAUGGCAAGUGUGCUUGAUGACUGCAAGCAACUGCAGACAUUAGUGGCUGCCAAUGACGCAGUUUUCUUGUUAACUGACACAUGGGAGAGCAGGUGGCUUCCAACUCUUCUCUGUGCAAGCGAAAAUAAGAUUGCUAUUACUGCAGUAUUAGGAUGUGACAGUUACCUUGUCAUGCGACAUGGUGCUGGUCCAGGAAUAAGUGGGGUUACAGAUGAAUUGACUGCUCAGAUAGAAAAAAUGUCUACAGAAGACGCUCUUGGCAAUCAGAGAUUGGGCUGUUGUUUCUGCAAUGAUGCUGUUUCCCUUUUUAAUCCAAUUCCUAAUGGAACACUACCUGGACUUACCUCAGUUGCAUCUGGCAAAGCAGUGGAGCUCUUUGCUAGGAUGUUACAUCAUCCUGAUGAGAUACAUGCUCCAGGUGAUAUUGCUGGUAUGGAAACAGAACAUCAGCUUGGUCUGUUACCACAUCAGCUACGAGGAUCACUCCCAAAGUGUGUUUUAUCUUUGGAACUAGGCAAUUCCUCCGGCAACUGUACUGCAUGUUCAAUUGCAGUAUUGUCAGAGUACAGAAGAAGAGGAUUGGAUUUUGUCAUGCAAGCUAUUAACUAUCCGACAUAUCUGAAAGAUCUUACAGGCAUUUCUGAUUCGAAGAGGGCAGAUACUUGUCCUAAGAUGCUGGGCAGCAUCUCUGUAAAUUCAGACAAGAUUUCUGAUGUCCGAUGUCUAAUUUUGGGUGCUGGAACUCUUGGAUGUGAUGUUGCUCGCAUUCUUAUGGACUGUGGUGUGCGGAAGCUAACAGUGGUUGAUAGUGGUCGUGUAGUUGUGUCAAAUUUGGCAAGACAAUCACUCUACACUUCUGAUGACUGCGGUGCCCCAAAAGCAACUGCAAUAGUUAAGCAUCUAGUGGAGAGGUGUCCUUCGGUGGAUGCACAAGGCAUUCAGAUGGAAAUACCUAUGCCAGGGCAUCCUUUGUCUCCUGGUGAAGCAGCUGGCGUGCUUCAAGAUUGCAAGAGCCUUGAGGAAUUAGUAGCUUCCCACGAUGCUAUCUUCUUGUUGACUGACACAAGGGAAAGUAGGUGGCUUCCAACUCUCCUCUGCACUAAUGAAAACAAGAUUGCUAUUACUGCGGCAUUAGGGUAUGAUAGUUACCUUGUCAUGCGACAUGGGGCUGGUCCUGGCACGAGCUGUGAAGCUUCAAAUGUGACUGCUGCCACGGAUAAGAUGUCCACAAUGGAUCCCCUUGGACGUCAAAGACUGGGGUGUUAUUUCUGCAAUGACGUUGUUGCUCCUGUUGAUUCUGUCUCCAAUCGAACACUGGAUCAACAAUGUACAGUGACACGACCUGGGCUGGCCUCUAUUGCAUCUGGAUGUGCUGCAGACCUCUUCACAAGAAUGUUACAUCAUCCUGAUGGGUACAUGAAAGCUGGAAUGAUACUAUGAGUUCGUGAUACAUGCUCCAGGAGAUAUUGCUGGUGCAAGCAGUGGCCAUCCACUUGGUCUAUUACCUCACCAGAUGCGUGGAUCACUCUCACAGUACAACUUAUUAACCCUCUUGGGCUAUUCCUCGAGCAAUUGCACAGCAUGUUCCAAUGUGGUAUUGUCUGAAUAUCGGAGGAGAGGAAUGGAUUUUGUGAUGCAAGUGAUCAACGAACCAACGUAUUUGGAAGACCUCACCGGCCUUACGGACUUGAUGAAAUCCGCAGCUUGCUCCCAGGUCGAGUGGGUAGAAACUGAUGAAGACGAUUUUGUUGAGAUCUGAUACAUGGUUUUAACGACUGUAAAUAUUAUAUCUCCUGCAAUAUGAUUUUCAUGAGCUGACGAAAUAACACUGUGGGAUGCCUUCACACUCAACAAUGCGAAGCAAUCAAGCAGCCACCCUUAAACACUUGUAACAUCACGCUUGUACAAUGAUGACUGCAAGUCUAGCCAAAUGUCAAAUGCUAAUAAUUCUGGAAACUCGUGAUUUACUCGCAA